rnacentral:rRNA from 1 species
AGAGUUUGAUCCUGGCUCAGGACGAACGCUGGCGGCGUGCUUAACACAUGCAAGUCAAGGAGAACGGAUCCUUCGGGAUACUAUUAAACUGGCGAACGGGUGAGUAACACGUAGGCAACUUGCCUUGGAGAUUGGGAUAACUCCGGGAAACCGGGACUAAUACCAAAUAAUGCAGCGUAUCCUUCGGGAUAUGUUGUUAAAGUGGGCUUCGGCUCACACUUCAAGAUGGGCCUGCGUCCGAUUAGCUUGUUGGUGAGGUAAUGGCUCACCAAGGCGAUGAUCGGUAGCUGGUCUGAGAGGAUGAUCCGCCACACUGGAACUGAGACACGGUCCAGACUCCUACGGGAGGCAGCAGUGGGGAAUAUUGCAGAAUGGAGGCAACUCUGAUGCAGCAAUGUCGCGUGAGUGAAGAAGGCCCUUGGGUCGUAAAGCUCUUUUAUGGGGGAAGAUGAUGACGGUACCCCAGGAAUAAGCACCGGCUAACUAUGUGCCAGCAGCCGCGGUAAUACAUAGGGUGCGAGCGUUGUUCGGAAUUACUGGGCGUAAAGGGCGCGCAGGCGGAAUAGUAAGUCGGAGGUGAAAGCCCGGGGCUCAACCCCGGAGGGUCUUUCGAAACUACUAAUCUAGAGAGGGUCAGGGGCCGGCAGAAUUCCUGGUGUAGAGGUGAAAUUCGUAGAUAUCAGGAGGAAUACCGGUGGCGAAGGCGGCCGGCUGGGGCCACUCUGACGCUGAGGCGCGAAAGCGUGGGGAGCAAACAGGAUUAGAUACCCUGGUAGUCCACGCCGUAAAAGAUGAGCCCUGGACGUCCGGAGGGUUCGACCCUUCUGGGUGUCUCAGCUAACGCAUUAAGUGCUCCGCCUGGGGAGUACGGUCGCAAGACUACAACUCAAAGGAAUUGACUGGGGCCCGCACAAGCGGUGGAACAUGUGGUUUAAUUCGAUGCAACGCGAAGAACCUUACCUGGUCUUGACAUCCUCGGACCGCUUCAGAGAUGAAGUUUCCUCUUCGGAGGCCGAGUGACAGGUGCUGCAUGGCUGUCGUCAGCUCGUGUCGUGAGAUGUUGGGUUAAGUCCCGCAACGAGCGCAACCCCUACCCUUAAUUGCCAUCGGGUUAUGCCGGGCACUUUAGGGGGACUGCCGGCGACAAGCCGGAGGAGGGUGGGGACGACGUCAAGUCCUCAUGGGCUUUAUGACCAGGGCUACACACGUGUUACAAUGGGAGUUACAGAGGGAAGCUAAACCGCGAGGUCAUGCCAAUCCCAGAAAAACUUUCUCAGUUCGGAUCGCAGUCUGCAACUCGACUGCGUGAAGCUGGAAUCGCUAGUAAUCGCGGAUCAGCACGCCGCGGUGAAUACGUUCCCGGGCCUUGUACACACCGCCCGUCACACCAUGGGAGCCGACAAGGGCAGAAGUCGCCGAGCUAACCUUCGGGAGGCAGGCGCCCAAGCUGUUGUUGACGACUGGGGUGAAGUCGUAACAAGGUAGCC